AAGUUGAGAGAAAUGGGUUGUUUAUGAGGCAAAGGGGUUAUUGGCGUGAGAGAGAAGAUGAGGAAAGAGGGAGAGUUUGCUGCACUUGAUGUGUUGGGAAAUAAAGGAAUGAAAUAGAAAUUGGUAGUGAUUUAUGCUUAGUCUUAUGGAACGGGAAUAUUUGUAUUAUUAUAGAUGAAAUAAGGACAACUAAAAUGAGUCUAGUACAGAUAGAAGAUGGAAUAUCAGAAAUUUUAGAGAGGAAUUAAG
rnacentral:lncRNA from 1 species